AACCUCUCAUAGAUUUUGCAAAAUCAAUGGAAUAUUCUCAGUAUUAAAACAGUGUUGACAUGGAACAACAGCCAAUAAAUGUUAGCUAUGAUUAAGAUGUUUCCAAGAAUGGGUAGGAGUUUUGUAAAUAGAGAAAGGAAUCUGUGGCUGAGAAGGAUAAAUUUGCAGCCAGAAUCAAGACACACAGAAAAGCAAAGCCCAGAGAAGCAUCUCAGCCUCCCAUUACUUGAGAUAGUAAAUUUAUUUUUUUAGCCUACUUGAGUUGAGGUAUUCAAUUGUUUGUAUCCUCAGUAUGCUGUGCUGAUACAGUUCCACUAAAAUUGUUAGAUCAGAAGAAGAUCUGGCUUUCAGACUAUGAAUUUAUGUCAGUUAAAAAGCACAAGUAUAAUCAAAGUGAAAGAAAGUAUAAUUCUAGAUCUGAAGAAAGUGAUGGAUGGGGGGAUUGAUUGGUUAGUAAGGGAGUUACAUGCUCAGAGCUGAAGGCUGAUCUGGUGUGGUUCUAAAAUGGCCCCCAAAGCCUCAUAUGUUUGGAAGGUUAUUGGAUUAUGGGAGCUUUAUAGCUGGCCUGUUAGGAGGCAGAGUCUCACUGGGAGAGGCAGGUCACUGGGGCAUGCUCUGGAAGGGGACAUCUCCCUCCUCAGCUCCUCCCUUCUCUCUGUUUCCUGGGUACCAUGACAUGAGCAGCUUUCCUCUACAGCAGGUUCUUCCACCAUGCUUUUUCUGCCCUGGAGCCAACUACGGGCAGUAUCCGCUAAAAACCUCACACAGAACAUGGUACUCAAUGCUCUUGCACUUGAGGAGGAGGCAUGUGGCAUUUCUUUGAUGAAAUGUGAAGAUGGUCAUUUUUCUGGACUGAAGCAGUGACUGAGCAGUGCUGAUUCCAAUUUCUCUCUCUCUCUCUCUCUCUCUCUCUCUCUCUCUCCCACACACACAGUGGUAAAGGAGAAAGUCUUGUGGAAAAGCCAAAACAUCAAAGGCCCUUGAUUGCUAAGUCACUGAAUAGAUGAUACCUACUGUCAAGGAGAUCUUCCAUUGCCAUUGCAGGCAUAAGAAAAUAAACUCUUUGAAAAACCACUAAAAUCUAAGAGCUGUUUGUUACCAGUGCAUAAUCUAGCCCUACUCUUACUAAUAGAUAACGAAAAGAAGAUAAAUAGAAAGUGGCGAGAGAUAACAGUGAAGUUGAAGAAAGGAGAUUCUUACUUUUUUAAUGUUUCAUAUUUCUAUGGUGAGUGAGACUGAAGCCUGUUUGUUAGAAAAAUGGAAAGAGGCAGUACAGAGGAAGAAUGUGAAGAUGCUAAAGCAGUAUUCUAAAGAAAACAGAAAAUGUGGCAAUAUACAAGCCAUGAGGUGAGCCUUUGCAUUUCUUCUAAGAAAAAUCCAGACCCAGGAGGAGUUGCAGAGAAAAGCUGAAGAUGACCACCCUCAUCAGCCCAUGCACUUGACUUCUGAAGCAAGCAAGCAAAGAGGCUGGAAUUUUAAAUCCUUGGCAUGGAACAAUUUCAAGGGAUGACGAACGUCUGCGACUGAAAUAACCAUGCAUGCAAUGAUGGCCUUUGCAUAUCAGCCUCCUGGCAGCUGUCCAUGCAGGAUGACUGGCAAGGACUGGUACUCCCUGCAUUCCACUCUUUUGGUUUAAAUAAUAUAGGCAUUUCUUAAAGAGAAUCAUCAUUAUUUAAGAAGUAAAUUUCUAUCCAGAAAGGGUUAAAUUUGUUCUUCUUUUUUUUUUUCAGUUCUAACUCCCUACCCCCACUGUUUGCCUAUGUCCUUUAACUGAAUUAGUUAUUCCAUUGCCAGGCCAGUGCUGGUCCCCUGCAGAACAACACAUGCUGUGCUCUCUCUGCAGUGCACUCAUGAUGAACUUUGGGCCACACAUCUGCUGCAGAGAAGGAACUCACAUUCCCAAAUGGCUGACAUAAGCUGAGGAUUCGAAGUUCAUAUGUUUGUGGCAUAUUUUUAUUAGAUAGGCUGCUAGAGAAUCAGAGAAGUACAUUUAGUUAUUAUUUCUUUAUCUCAUUACAGCACAUUCCAAACUAUUUUUCUUUUUAUCCACUUGAUAUUAUUCUAAGAUUCUGUUUCUACAAGUUAAUAUCUAGGCUAAAACCAGGGUUCACUACCCUUUACCCCUAAAUCAUUGCUAUGUCUAGCUUAAGGGUGUGUCCUCAUUACUUCCCUCAUUGCUGGGACAAAAUACCCAACAUCUACAACUGAAAGUAGAGGUUUCUUUUGCUGCAUGUUUCAGUCCAUAGUUGGCUGGCUCCAAAGCAGGACAGCAUGGCAGAGGGGUAUGGUGUAGGAAAAUCUGCUCACAGCAUGGUGGACAGGAAGCAGAAGGUGUCAAGGCAGGAGCUUCUGGUCACACCCACAGUGAUCUUCCUCUUCUGACCAGACCCUCCCUCCUAACAGCAAGUCAGUUAUAAGCCCCCAUAAUCCAAUCUUGCAAAACCUGUCUGUGGGUACAGGAGGGACUUGAAGGAUGUCUAGAUAUAAGUAUAAUGGAAUGUUUUGUACAGUUUUACCUCUUCAAGCCUCUUUGAUUUUCUGCAGAAACAGGCAAAAAUUUUCUGUAGAGUCUGAUAGAAAAAGUUAGGUUUUGUAGGCCAAGUGCUCUGUUGCAACUACUCAGUCUUUUACAGCACAAAAGCACCCAGAGAUAGAAC
rnacentral:lncRNA from 1 species